rnacentral:lncRNA from 10 species
CAUUCCUGUUUUCAAGAGACCAUCAAGCUUCAGAUGAUUAUGUGACAUGGUUUCUAGCCAGUUCCAGGUGAAGACACCACCCCAGGCCAUCAAGAAGCUACCCUGUCACCACUGGACAGAGCAAGGAGAGAGUUCCGUGAGCCCCAGUGGGUAGGGACUGCACCCCAAAUUCAAGUCAGCAUAAAGCAGUUACAGAAAAAAAGACCAUCAGUCCCUAUGCCUCCCAUAAAGAUAUAUGAGAAUCUUGUCUCUCAGGGGGGACAUGAGGCAGGACAAGAAUGUCUGGAGGCAGGAAGCCUAAGGCCAAUUCCCACUGACUUCCUGGAGCUCAAUCCAAAGGAAAACCCCACUGGAUUAGUCCAUUUUCAUGCUGCUGAUAAAGACAUACCUGAGACUGGGCAAUUUACAAAAGAAAGCGAUUUAAUGGACAUACAGUUCCACGUGGCUGGGAAGGCCUCACAAUCAUGGUGGAAGGUGAAAGGCAUUUCUCACAUAGUGGCAGACAAGAGAAGAGAGCUUGUGCAGCGAAACUCCUGCUUUUAAAACCAUCAGAUCUUGUGAGACUCGUUCACUAUCAUGAGAACAGCACAGGAGGGAACCACCUCCAUAAUUCAAUCACCUUCCACCAGGAUCCUCCUAUGAUGCAUGGGAAUUACAGGAGUUGCAAUUCAAGUUGAGAUUUGGGUGGGGACACAGCUAAACCACACCAUCAAUCUCUCCAUAACAAAAGGAUCAGAAACUACUCCUUUUAUACUGCGUUGCAGAUGAAAAAUGGAAAGUACCUCUGAAUGGUUCCCUCCCACAAUCAGUCAGACUAGUCACAGGCCAAGUCUUCUUUUACAUUGGGUGUAACCAAGUAACCAAAGGGAAACUUUUAGAGGGUAUUGAAACCCCAGAAAAUGUUUCAAGGGGUGCUCUUUGCCACUUGCUCAAUCCUGCUCCCACUCUGUUGCAGUGUAAUUUCAUUUCAAUAAAUUUGUGCUUUCA